CCUACGGGAGGCAGCAGUAGGGAAUAUUGCACAAUGGGGGAAACCCUGAAGCAGCAACGCCGCGUGGAGGAUGAAGGUUUUCGGAUUGUAAACUCCUUUUGUUAGAGAAGAUAAUGACGGUAUCUAACGAAUAAGCACCGGCUAACUCCGUGCCAGCAGCCGCGGUAAUACGGAGGGUGCAAGCGUUACUCGGAAUCACUGGGCGUAAAGAGCGCGUAGGCGGGAUAGCAAGUCAGAUGUGAAAUCCUAUGGCUUAACCAUAGAACUGCAUUUGAUACUGUUAUUCUAGAGUAUGGGAGAGGUAGGUGGAAUUCUUGGUGUAGGGGUGAAAUGCGUAGAGAUCAAGAGGAAUACUCAUGGCGAAGGCGACCUGCUAGAACAUAACUGACGCUGAUGCGCGAAAGCGUGGGGAGCAAACAGGAUUAGAUACCCCAGUAGUC
rnacentral:rRNA from 1 species